rnacentral:rRNA from 1 species
CGAGUCUUAACUGGGCGUUAAGUUGCAGGGUAUAGACCCGAAACCCGGUGAUCUAGCCAUGGGCAGGUUGAAGGUUGGGUAACACUAACUGGAGGACCGAACCGACUAAUGUUGAAAAAUUAGCGGAUGACUUGUGGCUGGGGGUGAAAGGCCAAUCAAACCGGGAGAUAGCUGGUUCUCCCCGAAAGCUAUUUAGGUAGCGCCUCGUGAAUUCAUCUUCGGGGGUAGAGCACUGUUUCGGCUAGGGGGUCAUCCCGACUUACCAACCCGAUGCAAACUACGAAUACCGAAGAAUGUUAUCACGGGAGACACACGGCGGGUGCUAACGUCCGUCGUGAAGAGGGAAACAACCCAGACCGCCAGCUAAGGUCCCAAAGUCAUGGUUAAGUGGGAAACGAUGUGGGAAGGCACAGACAGCCAGGAUGUUGGCUUAGAAGCAGCCAUCAUUUAAAGAAAGCGUAAUAGCUCACUGGUCGAGUCGGCCUGCGCGGAAGAUGUAACGGGGCUAAACCAUGCACCGAAGCUGCGGCAGCGACACUAUGUGUUGUUGGGUAGGGGAGCG